GAAAUGACCGACCCGGGCUUCGGCAGUCAGUCCCCCAUUAUCAGCGACGAUGUCGAGAAUCAGGAUGGAGAGAAGCGCAGCAGAAGGGAACCAUUCACCAAGAAGCAAUGUUGUAGAAAAACCCAUAUUGCGACACUUCUCUUUGUUCUGUACGGUGGCAUGCUGGUGGCGCUGUUGGUGAAGGCCUACUACCCUGUGCCAUCAUCACCAAACUGCUCCCUACUCCUGGCACCCAUCCCUUCUAACGACAUCCUUAAACGGAUCUUCACUGGGAGGUGGAUCAUGCAGGAGGCGUACUCUAGUGACUCCCUUGAUCAGUAUGCCCUGACACACGCUAAGAGCUCCUGGGCAGAGUUCACCAGGAUGCCCGACGGCACCAUUAACCUGGACAUGGCCCACAUGCUGAGUGUCCCGCCAAACAGGACAAUGUGGUGUGUCCACCACCACUUCACGGGCAUUGAGCAACACAACAACACACUUCAACUCAAUCUGCCCGAGUUCAAAUCGUCAGCGACGUUCCAGUUCAUCAAGGCCUGCAAUGAAUGUCUGGCCAUGACGGCUAAAGCAUAUGUGCCUGGAUAUAGCCCUCUGGACUACCUGCUUGUCUAUGGUCUAUAUCCAGACUUACACGAGUAUUACAUCAAACCAACCAGACUGCAGGCCUCCUGCAAGCGCCUGGUGACCCCGCCUCCUUUCAAGUAUUAUGGAGAAGAACUCUGCCCGAAUGACGUGAAUGAGACUGAUUCUGCUGAGGCAAGAGGCAUGGAUUUUAAACACUUCUUUGUUCCACGGUGA
rnacentral:lncRNA from 1 species